rnacentral:rRNA from 1 species
GUAGCUAAGUUCGGAAUUGAUAAGCGCUGAAAGCAUCUAAGCGCGAAGCGAGCCCUGAGAUGAGUCUUCCCUGACAGUUUAACUGUUCUAAAGGGUUGUUCGAGACUAGAACGUUGAUAGGCAGGGUGUGUAAGCGUUGUGAGGCGUUGAGCUAACCUGUACUAAUUGCCCGUGAGGCUUAACCAUACAACACCCAAGGGGUUUUGUA